CACAUGCAGUCGAGCGGUAACAGGAAGCAGCUUGCUGCUUCGCUGACGAGUGGCGGACGGGUGAGUAAUGUCUGGGAAACUGCCUGAUGGAGGGGGAUAACUACUGGAAACGGUAGCUAAUACCGCAUAACGUCUCAAGACCAAAGAGGGGGACCUUCGGGCCUCUUGCCAUCGGAUGUGCCCAGAUGGGAUUAGCUAGUAGGUGGGGUAACGGCUCACCUAGGCGACGAUCCCUAGCUGGUCUGAGAGGAUGACCAGCCACACUGGAACUGAGACACGGUCCAGACUCCUACGGGAGGCAGCAGUGGGGAAUAUUGCACAAUGGGCGCAAGCCUGAUGCACCCAUGCCGCGUGUAUGAAGAAGGCCUUCGGGUUGUAAAGUACUUUCAGCGGGGAGGAAGGUGUUGAGGUUAAUAACCUUGUCAAUUGACGUUACCCGCAGAAGAAGCACCGGCUAACUACGUGCCGGCAGCCGAAA
rnacentral:rRNA from 2 species